UGGGGAAUAUUGCACAAUGGGCGCAAGCCUGAUGCAGCCAUGCCGCGUGUAUGAAGAAGGCCUUCGGGUUGUAAAGUACUUUCAGCGGGGAGGAAGGGAGUAAAGUUAAUACCUUUGCUCAUUGACGUUACCCGCAGAAGAAGCACCGGCUAACUCCGUGCCAGCAGCCGCGGUAAUACGGAGGGUGCAAGCGUUAAUCGGAAUUACUGGGCGUAAAGCGCACGCAGGCGGUUUGUUAAGUCAGAUGUGAAAUCCUCGGGCUCAACCUGGGAACUGCAUCUGAUACUGGCAAGCUUGAGUCUCGUAGAGGGGGGUAGAAUUCCAGGUGUAGCGGUGAAAUGCGUAGAGAUCUGGAGGAAUACCGGUGGCGAAGGCGGCCCCCUGGACGAAGACUGACGCUCAGGUGCAAAAGCGUGGGGAGCAAACAGG
rnacentral:rRNA from 1 species